rnacentral:rRNA from 1 species
UGGGGAAUCUUGCGCAAUGGCCGAAAGGCUGACGCAGCGACGCCGCGUGCGGGAUGAAGGCCUUCGGGUCGUAAACCGCUGUUGCCCGGGACGAACAGCCUGAUUCGUCAGGCCUGACGGUACCGGGUGUGGAAGCACCGGCUAACUCCGUG